rnacentral:rRNA from 1 species
UACGGGAGGCAGCAGUGGGGAAUUUUGGACAAUGGGGGAAACCCUGAUCCAGCAAUGCCGCGUGUGUGAAGAAGGCCUUCGGGUUGUAAAGCACUUUUGUCCGGAAAGAAAACUUCUGCCCUAAUACGGCGGGAGGAUGACGGUACCGGAAGAAUAAGCACCGGCUAACUACGUGCCAGCAGCCGCGGUAAUACGUAGGGUGCGAGCGUUAAUCGGAAUUACUGGGCGUAAAGCGUGCGCAGGCGGUUCGUUAAGACAGAUGUGAAAUCCCCGGGCUUAACCUGGGAACUGCAUUUGUGACUGGCGAGCUAGAGUAUGGCAGAGGGGGGUAGAAUUCCACGUGUAGCAGUGAAAUGCGUAGAGAUGUGGAGGAAUACCGAUGGCGAAGGCAGCCCCCUGGGCCAAUACUGACGCUCAUGCACGAAAGCGUGGGGAGCAAACAGGAUUAGAUACCCUGGUAGUCCACGCCCUAAACGAUGUCAACUAGUUGUUGGGUCUUCAUUGACUUAGUAACGUAGCUAACGCGUGAAGUUGACCGCCUGGGGAGUACGGUCGCAAGAUUAAAACUCAAAGGAAUUGACG